rnacentral:rRNA from 1 species
UACGUAGGGUGCGAGCGUUAAUCGGAAUUACUGGGCGUAAAGCGUGCGCAGGCGGUUUUUUAAGACAGUUGUGAAAUCCCCGGGCUCAACCUGGGAAUUGCAUCUGUGACUGUAUAGCUAGAGUACGGUAGAGGGGGAUGGAAUUCCGCGUGUAGCAGUGAAAUGCGUAGAUAUGCGGAGGAACACCGAUGGCGAAGGCAAUCCCCUGGACCUGUACUGACGCUCAUGCACGAAAGCGUGGGGAGCAAACAGG